rnacentral:piRNA from 1 species
UAAAGGUGUUUAUAGCAGCACAAAUGAGC